rnacentral:rRNA from 1 species
UACGAACUGUGCGAACGUUAUUCGGAUUCACUGGGCUUAAAGGGUGCGUAGGCGGUCGCUUAAGUAGGGUGUGAAAUCCCCUGGCUCAACCAGGGAACUGCGCCCUAAACUGGGUGGCUCGAGUGAGAUAGGGGUGUGUGGAACUUCCGGUGGAGCGGUGAAAUGUGUUGAUAUCGGAAGGAACGCCGGUGGCGAAAGCGACACACUGGGUCUUGUCUGACGCUGAGGCACGAAAGCCAGGGGAGCAAACGGG